rnacentral:ncRNA from 1 species
CUAUGACUUAUUGUCAUGGCGGAAGGAG